rnacentral:tRNA from 1 species
GCCCUGAUAGUGUAGUGGCUUAUCAUCCGGCCCUGUCGAGGCCGGGACCCGGGUUCGACUCCCGGUCAGGGCG